UUUAAACGUAGCCAUGAGUUUCUGUGUCCAACUUUGAUCAUUCGUCUUAUUUAACUUUUUUUAAUAUUAGUAUUUUUUUUUGUUGUUAUUAGAUGAUAAAAUGUAAAUAGUACUUUAUGGAUGACUUUUUUUAUAAAAAAAAUUAAAUAAGAAUGACGAUUAAAGUUGGACAUGAAAACUUAUGGCUGUGCUUAAA
rfam:Oryza meridionalis cultivar OR44 (W2112) chromosome 1, whole genome shotgun sequence.